UACAGAGACUGCAAGCGUUGUUCGGAUUCAUUGGGCGUAAAGGGUGCGCAGGCGGUGUGCUAAGUCGGAUGUGAAAUCUCACAGCCUAACUGUGAUAGGUCAUUCGAUACUGCCGUGCUUGAGGACUGGAGAGGAGACUGGGAUUUACGGUGUAGCGGUGAAAUGCGUAGAUAUCGUAAGGAAGACCAGUGGCGAAGGCGGGUCUCUGGACAGUUCCUGACGCUGAGGCACGAAGGCCAGGGGAGCAAACGGG
rnacentral:rRNA from 1 species